rnacentral:rRNA from 1 species
UCCGGAGGGCGCGAUCGUUACCCGGAUUUACUGGGUGUAAAGGGCGUGUAGGCGGUCUCUCAAGUCCGAUGCUAAAGACCGAAGCUCAACUUCGGGGGUGCGUUGGAUACUGUGAGGCUAGACGGUCGGAGGGGGUAGCGGAAUUUCCGGAGUAGCGGUGAAAUACGCAGAUACCGGAAGGAACGCCGAUAGCGAAGGCAGCUACCUGGACGAUUGGUGACGCUGAGGCGCGAAAGCGUGGGGAGCAAACCGG